UGGGGCAUCUUGCUUCAGAGUUUUCCAUUUGAAAUAGUAAAAUUCCGGAAUCGGGAGUCAGGCAGAUUUUUUUUUUUUUCUCUUUCUCACAUCCAAAAGGACGAUGGUUAGCUGGAUGAUUCGCUCUUAGAUAGGAAGGGAUCUAUCGUCUCUCAUUGGACAUACUAACUUUGCAUGAAGUCUGUGGAAGUUCUGCAGUUUCACCCUGCCCCCCGUGACCUUCCGAAACUGCCCCCGUGACCUUCCAGUUUCUUAGUACUGCCACAGGGAAGCACCGUGGAGCUAAUAAAAGAUUUGAUAUUGUCAUAAUUUUUCAAUCAGGGGAUCAACAAAUUGAUCAAGAAACUGCCCAGGCCAAUCUCACAAGACAGCAGGCUGCCUUCUUUAUUAUGGAACUACAGACCACAAAUCUUACUAAAGGCGUGACUCAAUUCAACAGUGCUGGUUUGUUCGGA
rnacentral:lncRNA from 1 species